rfam:Gossypium hirsutum cultivar TM-1 chromosome 23, whole genome shotgun sequence
AACCCAUGGUGAGGGCACCUUCUUAAAAGGUCCUUGUAUCUCUCCCAUCCAUCGUAGAUUGUUUCUAAAAUCCAUCUGUACAAAAGAAGAGAUAUCAUUACGUAAUUU